rnacentral:misc_RNA from 1 species
GAUGAAGAACGCAGCGAAAUGCGAUAAGUAAUGUGAAUUGCAGAAUUCAGUGAAUCAUCGAAUCUUUGAACGCACAUUGCGCCCGCCAGUAUUCUGGCGGGCAUGCCUGUCUGAGCGUCAUUUCAACCCUCAUGCCCCUAGGGCGUGGUGUUGGGGAUCGGCCAAAGCCCGCGAGGGACGGCCGGCCCCUAAAUCUAGUGGCGGACCCGUCGUGGCCUCCUCUGCGAAGUAGUGAUAUUCCGCAUCGGAGAGCGACGAGCCCCUGCCGUUAAACCCCCAACUUUCCAAGGUUGACCUCAGAUCAGGUAGGAAUACCCGCUGAACUUAAGCAUAUCAAUAACGGAGGA